GACCAAGAAGAGUGAAGACAGUCUGGAGAAAAAAAUUAAGUUGGAAGACAUACACUACCAAGUAUUGAGAUUCUUAACCUCUAGCUUGUAGAAAGAAAAACCUUCCAGAAAGAUCUCCCUCUAUGUACAUCCAGACAACAACACUUACUGUCUCCAUGAGUUUAAGUGCUUCAGUGUCUCUGGGCAUGCUCUAUAUGCCCAAGGUUUAUAUUAUAAUUUUUCAUCCAGAACAGAAUGUUCAAAAACGCAAGAGGAGCUUCAAGGCUGUGGUGACAGCUGCCACCAUGCAAAGCAAACUGAUCCAAAAAGGAAAUGACAGACCAAAUGGCGAGGUGAAAAGUGAACUCUGUGAGAGUCUUGAAACCAACACUUCCUCUACCAAGACAACAUAUAUCAGUUACAGCAAUCAUUCAAUCUGAAACAGGGAAAUGGCACAAUCUGAAGAGAUGCGGUAUAUGAUCUUAAAUGAUGAACAUGAGACCGCAAAAAUUCACUCCUGGAGAUCUCCGUAGACUACAAUCAAUCAAAUCAAUAGUCAGUCUUGUAAGGAACAAAAAUUAGCCAUGAGCCAAAAGUAUCAAUAAACGGGGAGUGAAGAAACCCGUUUUAUACAAUAAAACCAAUGAGUGUCAAGCUAAAGUAUUGCUUACUCAUGAGCAGUUAAAAAAAAAAAUCACAAAAGGAAAACUAAUGUUAGCUUGUGAAAAAAAAAUGCUGUUGAAAUAAAUUAUGUCUGAUGUUAUUCUUGUAAGUAUUUUUCUGUGAUUGUGAGAACUCCCGUUCCUGUCCCACAUUGUUUAACUUGUAUAAGACAAUGAGUCUGUUUCUUGUAAUGGCUGACCGGAUUGAAGCCCUGGGUUGUGCUAAAAAUAAGUGCAAUGAUUGAUGCAUGCAAUUUUUUAUACAAAUAAUUUAUUU
rnacentral:sRNA from 1 species